rnacentral:misc_RNA from 1 species
GAAGUGCGAUAAGCAAUGCGAAUUGCAGAAUUCCGCGAAUCAUCAGAUCUUUGAACGCAAAUGGCGCCGGAGGGAUCUCCUUUCGGCAUGUCUGUUUCAGUGUCUGAGAGGUUUCACACAAAUCUUAAUGUGAUUGACAAGAGAUGAGGAUGUAUUUAUUUAUAUUCUUCUUCUUAAGUCUCUCAUGAAAGAUGCGCAAGGGGAUCUUUCGGUCCAAUGAAGUGGUCACAUCACUCGCAUGUGAUUUCAUUGGAUUUAUAACCAAACCGAAUUAUCCGAGAACUUGCGGUUCUAUACUACAAAAAAAACUUCCAUACCCUGCAUCUGAGACAGGCAAGAUUACCCGCUGAACUUAA